CUCAAGAGAUCUGCCCGCCUCAGCCUCACAAAGUGCUAGGAAUAGAGGUGUGAGCCACCACACCCAGCCUCAAAACAGAAAUCUUAAAUGAAGACUUGGGUUGAACUCUUAGGACUUGGAAGAACUGGACCAUGUUAUCUUCUUUGGAAAGAUGGGAAACCCAAUCAGUAGGAAAAACGAUAGAAAUUCCAGAAGUGACCCUGUGGUGGAAUUUAUUUCUGUGUUCUCAAAGUAUUUGGGUCUUGUGGGUGUCUUGGCUCUCUUCGUUCUGUGUAUCCUUGUACAGUUUCAUGUAGGGCACAUUUUUCUUAUUUAGUUAUGUAAGGACACUAAGUAAAAACAUUGAAGACCCACAUGGUCAGUGAGCCCUGGGUGAGACAAACGUCCUCUCUUACUACAGUCAAAACUGUUUCAACAGCAACUGGUGGACCAAAAGGAAAUAUUGUGCUUCCUGCCAGUGUUUGAAGGAGAUGACAUUAUGAAGCUUGCAAAUAAAUAUCUAGCAGGCUUCCUAUCUUUGCCUUUGGCUUCCAAAUUGCCAACUGAUCGCUGGGACUGCUGUUGCAUUGCUUUUUAUUGUGUACUGGAAUUGCUUUGGGUAUUGGCUUGGCAUUAAUCAAUACUCAUCACAAAAAGGAAUAGAUGAUGAGACCAUCACCGUUCCUCCUUUUCCCAGGCCUUCAGAGGUCCAGAAAGGAUCACUCUGUACGGUAAAAUCUCUACUAUCUGGACCAGUUUGGCUGCAAAUGACCCCAGUGAUGAGGUUUUCCGUGCUUCUUCUAGGAAUCUAUGUUCACAGCCUGCCGGGGCAGACUCUGCCUCAUUUUCUUUUCUGUUUCAUAUCUUCACAUCACUUCCAGUUAAUGCAUAGUAUGCAGAAGCAGAAACAGGUCAAAAUUGGGUUGAAUAUAUUCCCCUCCUCUGUGGUUUUCAAAUCUCUGCAGCCAAGAAUUUCCUCUUUGAACCACACACGAUGAACAGACACCUAAUAGGAGAAAUAAAAAGUUGAUUUCCUUGAGCAGCAAAUUUUUAGCUCGCACAAAAUUCAAUCAAUUAUAUAAAUGUACUGAUUGAUAACAUGAAAUUGCAUGAAGUAAAGGGAAAUUUUAUACUAAAAAUAAAAGCCUUUUACUACAGUGGAAGUUUUACUGGGCAUAAUAGUGUUACACCUGAAAAUGGAUUUUUAAAAAGGGACAGAACUGAAAUUAAACAGCAUUUGCACACUGCCUCUUGUGCAAAUAAACUUUUCUGGGAAAAUGGUUUGAACAACCAAGAGCAGAGAUCAAGCGAUCAGAUUCAGGAGGUUGAAUUUUUGUUCACAAAAGUAAACAUACAGAUACUUUUUGAUUGAUAAUAAAAAUGGUAAGUGGAAGGAAUUCUUUGUUUAAUGUAUAUCUCCAUCUGUUUUGACCCAGCAGUCAAGAUCAAGUUCCACCAUUGGUGCAGUAAAUGAAUCUAAAUUCUCACCCGAAAUGGGAUGACCCCACCAUCCCUGGAGAUACCUGUUCCUUGAAAGAAGUAACUGCAGAUCUUGCCAAUUCUGUUACCACAGUUGCAGCCUGUAUUAAUGAAGAAAUGCUCCAGUUGCAUUCUCUAUUAAGUUAUUCUUUCAACAGAUGUCUACUGAACACACUAUGACAGGUAUACCUCUAAACACCAGGGAUAAUGCCAAGAAUAAAACACGCCCCUGCCCACGCUCAGGGAAUUCUGUUUUAAGAGGACUCAGGGUAGACAGGAAAUAAACAAAUAUAAAUCUGUACUAUGUCAGAUGAUGAGCAACACCAUAAACAAAAAUAAAGCAGUCUAGGAGGAUGGAGAGCAAUGGCAGGGAGAAGAAUGUGAUUUGGACCGAGUGGUUGGGGACUGCCUCUCCCUGAGAGAAGACCUGUAUGGCAAAAGAUGCCAUCUGGGGGAAGAGAGUCCCAGGCGGAGGGAACUGUAAGUGUGGUGGCCUGGGGGUGGGAGCAUGGCUUGUCCCAUGACUGGAAAAAAGGAAAGGAAAGAGAAGAAAAGUGGGCGGAGAUGAGAUGGGGGAGAAAGGAGAUUUCCAAAUAAUGUUGAUUUUUUAGGCUGGCGCAUGAACUUUGCCUUUUACUCUUAAUUAGAUGGGAAGUCAUUGGAGGAACUUCAGCUGGGGCAUACUGUGAUCUGGCUUAUGAUUUUAAAGGAUUACUCUGGCCAUGGCAUGGACACAGACUAAAGGAGGCCACGUUCCAUAGCCUGAGUCGUUUUUAGCCAUUCCCUCAUUGGGCAACAGAGACAGCAUGAGCAUGAGAUGUGCAGAUAACGUGAAACUGGGGACAUAAGAGCUUCUAGAUCUUCAAAAGCUUCUUUUUAACUUUUGACACCCAGCUGAAUUGCAGCCUCCCCGCCUCCACCGGCAGCCCACCCCAGCCUGAUGGUCUGUCCUUCCCACGUGGUUUGUCAUUGACUUGUGGCACAUACUGCCUCUAUCAUUACAUGGCUCUGUGACCUGCAGGUGUAUUUGCCUGUCUCCCCUUCAAUGCUGUGCCAACCUUGAAAGCAGGGUGGUAGCAUGUUCACCUCACCAUUCUCCCCAGGGCGGGCACAUCACAGAGAUUCAACAAUGCUUCUUUGCAUCAGUGAAUUCUUUAGCAGUCUGCUAGGGCCAGCUAGCACCAAUAAGAUGAAAUAUCUUAACAGUCAACCGCUUAUGUAUAAGAUAAACAUGGCCUGCCUUUACAAUAGUCCAGGUUUUUUUUAAAAAGAAUCUGAUUUUUAGCAGACCUUGAACUCAGUGUGAGGCAUAAGUGUGAUAUAGCUGUUGUAAAAAAAACUAAUGAAGCCUUAUGGUCAGCAUAGGUUUGAGCCACUUGCCAGUUAGAAUAAAUGCGUCUUAUAGCAUACAUGAUGCUGUACUGACAUACCUUGUUUUUGUGAGUAUGCAUGUGUGCACACAUGUGUGAGCAGAAGCAUUGUUUCCUAUUUCAUCAGAUAAGGGCCCAGCCCACAGAGCCUGAGUCUAAAGCUGUGGCACCAGUAGUUUGGAAGCAGAAAAUGUCACACUCAGGAGCACUUGUUUGGAGGCUGGGUGCUUUGGUUCCUUCACAGUGUAACUUGGUCAGGGGUUUUGCUGACAUCUGAAGAAAAAAGCUGUUUAUUUACAUGUACACUGUAGAUUCUCCUUAGAUGAAAGGAAUGGCCUUAGUUAAAUAUCAUCUUCAAGGAAACAUAUGUGGAUGCUUCUAAAAUUCAAACAAAGAGACAGAGAUUUUUGGAUAAAAUUGCCCUGGAAAAACCUCGCUCGAUACAGACAAUUGACCCUCAGGUUUCCCACCAUGCUGUUUAUUGUGUGUCCAAGGUGUGUGUUCCUUAUUACUUCCUUCAGGAAAAUACAUGAUUAUCCUAGGUUAUCAUUAUGGACUGGGUGCAUUUUUUUCUCAUCCUAUUUUCUCACUUCUUACAAGCAUAAUUUAACCAAAGAAUGAACUGCUCACAGUUGGUUAUAAUGCUGAAUAACAAAUCAAUCCUGCUGUUUGAAUACAGUCUAUUUAUUGCUGACAAUUACUGUAGUCUGUAGAAGUCAUAAAUAGACAGACAUGGCAGAAAUAGUCAACAUUUCUGUCACAUGCUUCGUUGUAAUGAUUCAGUUCUACUAUGUCCUAGAGAGAGAGAAAAAAAUUUACAAAGCACAGAACUUGUGGGUUUCUAAAUAAUUUUUAACUGGCACCAUACGUUGCUAAUUUUGUCUCACGUUUUGGCAUUUUCUAGUCAGAAGCAGUGUGAUCUUGUCAUUAGAAUAAUAAAUCAGGAGUUUUGUCCUCUAGUUAAAGUAGAGGCUUGAGAAGGAUGAGAGCUUUUUUAUUUUUAGAGCAGACUCCACUUACCUUAUAGAUAGAAAAUGAUCACCUCUAGUCUAAUAAAAUAAACCAUCUGUCUACUGCUUGUAUGUACUUCUACAUGACCUUAAACAAGUCAUUUAACCUCUCCGUGCUUUACUUUCUUCUACAAAAUCAAAGGGUUAGAUCGCACCUAUUUUCUGGCUCUAUAAGAUCAUCGUGUACUGAAAUUGAUUUUAAAGCCCAUUGCUUGUCUUUAUUUACCUCCUUUUUUUUUUUUUUUUUUUUUUAAUUCUUCACUGGUUAUCACCAAUGUAAAGGAUAGACAGAUGGACUGUCACUGUCAUCAUGAGCUGGGGCU